AGUGUCCCCAGUUCCCCCAGUACACAUCUCCAAUCCCAGUUUUUCCAGUCCUAAUGCCCCUGGUCACCCAGUACACAUCUCCAGUCCCAGUGUCCCCAGUACCCCCCCCACUUUGUGUCCCCACUCCCAAUUUUUCCAGUUCCAGUUUUCCCAGUUCCCCCAGUAUACAUCCCCAGUCCCAGUUUCCUUCAGCCCUAUUCUCCCAGUGCCCACAGUUUGCAUUCCCAGUCCCAGUGUCCCCAGUCCCUCCAGUACACAUCUCCAGUCCCAGCAUCCCCAGUUUGUAUCCCCAGACCCUCCAGUACACAUCUCCAGUCCCAGUAUCCCCAGUGCCCCCAGUUCGCAUCCCCAGUCCCAGUGUCCCCAGUCCCCCUAGUGCACAUUUCCAGUCCCAGUGUCCCCAGCGCUCCCUGUCUUUCUAGUCCCAGUGUCCCCAGUCCCAGUGCUCCCAGUGCCCCCAGUUUGUGUCCCCAGUCCCAGUUUUCCCAGUCCCAGUGUCCCCAGUCCCCCCAAGUACAUAUCUCUAGUCCCAAUGCCCCCCACCAUCCCCGUGUCCCCACCUCCCCGCUCCCAGUGCUCCCAGUACCCCCCCAGUCCCUCCCAGUGCUCACGGGUUGGUGCUGCCCAGCAGGAAGAAGGCGCUGCCCUCAGGGAUCGGUGCCACUUUGUUCUUGGGGGGCUCCUCCAGGCUCUCCAGCCGUUGCCUCCCCAGGCUGUCCCGCUCCCCCCCGGCCCCUUCAUCACCUGUGGGGAACCACCAGUGCGUGGGGGGGGUCCUUCUGCCCCCUCCAAAGGGAGGGGGGGUCCUUCUGCCCCUUCUUCCCCCUCUUUUCCCCCCCUCCAGGGAUUUUGACGUGGGGCUGACCUUCCUCGCUGCCCUCCUCCUCCUCUUCCUCCUCCUCCUCCUCCUCCUCCUGCUGCUGCUCCCCUUCGACCUGGAGGAGUGUGCAAGGCCGUGCACAUGCGUGUGAGGUCAUGGGUUGGGUCAUGAGAGGGCUGUGCAUACAUGUGUUGGGGGGGUGCAAGCG
rnacentral:lncRNA from 1 species